AUUGAACGCUGGCGGAAUGCUUUACACAUGCAAGUCGAACGGUAGAGGGGGCAACCCCUUGAGAGUGGCGAACGGGUGAGUAAUAUAUCGGAACGUGCCCAGUCGUGGGGAUAACGUAGCGAAAGUUACGCUAAUACCGCAUACGAUCUAAGGAUGAAAGCGGGGGACUCGCAAGAGCCUCGCGCGAUUGGAGCGGCCGAUAUCAGAUUAGGUAGUUGGUGGGGGUAAAGGCUCACCCAAGCCAACGAUCUGUAGCUGGUCUGAGAGGACGACCAGCCACACUGGAACUGAGACACGGUCCAGACUCCUACGGGAGCAGCAGUGGGGAAUUUUGGACAAU
rnacentral:rRNA from 1 species